rnacentral:rRNA from 1 species
AGACCCGAAACCCGGUGAUCUAGCCAUGGGCAGGUUGAAGGUUGGGUAACACUAACUGGAGGACCGAACCGACUAAUGUUGAAAAAUUAGCGGAUGACCUGUGGCUGGGGGUGAAAGGCCAAUCAAACCGGGAGAUAGCUGGUUCUCCCCGAAAGCUAUUUAGGUAGCGCCUCGUGAAUUCAUCUCCGGGGGUAGAGCACUGUUUCGGCUAGGGGGCCAUCCCGGCUUACCAACCCGAUGCAAACUGCGAAUACCGGAGAAUGUUAUCACGGGAGACACACGGCGGGUGCUAACGUCCGUCGUGAAGAGGGAAACAACCCAGACCGCCAGCUAAGGUCCCAAAGUCAUGGUUAAGUGGGAAACGAUGUGGGAAGGCCCAGACAGCCAGGAUGUUGGCUUAGAAGCAGCCAUCAUUUAAAGAAAGCGUAAUAGCUCACUGGUCGAGUCGGCCUGCGCGGAAGAUGUAACGGGGCUAAACCAUGCACCGAAGCUGCGGCAGCGACGCUUAUGCGUUGUUGGGUAGGGGAGCGUUCUGUAAGCCGUUGAAGGUGGCCUGUGAGGGUUGCUGGAGGUAUCAGAAGUGCGAAUGCUGACAUAAGUAACGAUAAAGCGGGUGAAAAGCCCGCUCGCCGGAAGACCAAGGGUUCCUGUCCAACGUUAAUCGGGGCAGGGUGAGUCGACCCCUAAGGCGAGGCCGAAAGGCGUAGUCGAUGGGAAACGGGUUAAUAUUCCCGUACUUGGUGUUACUGCGAAGGGGGGACGGAGAAGGCUAUGUUGGCCGGGCGACGGUUGUCCCGGUUUAAGCGUGUAGGUGUGUGUUCCAGGUAAAUCCGGUUCACUUUAACACUGAGGCGUGAUGACGAGGCACUACGGUGCUGAAGUAACAAAUGCCCUGCUUCCAGGAAAAGCCUCUAAGCAUCAGGUAACAUCAAAUCGUACCCCAAACCGACACAGGUGGUCAGGUAGAGAAUACCAAGGCGCUUGAGAGAACUCGGGUGAAGGAACUAGGCAAAAUGGUGCCGUAA